AAGCAAGUUUCCACAACUGAGAAAACUCGUGCAACUUGGAACCCCGCCUGGUCUUUCCAGGUCUAGAGGGGUGACACUUUGCACGGUGCUCGACUCCACGCCCGGUCCACUGGCGGGUGUUAGUAGCAGCACUGUUGUUUCGUAGCGGAGCAUGGUGGCCGUGGGAACUCCCCCUUGGAGACAAGGACCCGCGGGGCCAAAAGCCACGUCCGGACGGACCCACCAUGUGUGCAACCCCAGCACGGCAACUUUACUGCGAACGCCACCUUAAGGUGACACUGGUACUGGUACUCGGUCACUGGUGACAGGCUAAGGAUGCCCUUCAGGUACCCCGAGGUAACACGGGACACUCGGGAUCUGAGAAGGGGAUUUGGGACUUCUCUAAAAGUGCCCAGUUUAAAAAGCUUCUAUGCCUGAAUAGGCGACCGGAGGCCGGCGCCUUUCUACUACCCACUACUAAAUC
rnacentral:other from 1 species